CUUUUCCCGCUGCCACCACCUACAGCCACCACCACCCAGCACACAGUUCCCGCUGCCACCACUCCGUUCAGCAGCAGGACCACACAUGUCGUUAUCAUGGUUCUUAGCAAUCUCGCACCUGUCUUUAGCUCUGCAGACCCGUGCACCCACCCGGUCUGCGCACCCAACCGUUCCCACUGCCCAGCCACUGCCCCUGCCUGGUGCCUCCCUCACUCCACAGACUAGCCAUUCCCAUGUCUUGCCUGCCAGAUCAGUUCGAUCUCAAGCCACUGCUGUUAACUUUUAUUCUGGUCCUAACCAGAUGUUUCUUUGCUAAUGCAAAAGGUGCUUUUCUCUACCUACACAACCUGUUACUUGAGAUUCUCAUUCCUAUCCUGUCUUGAUAGAUGAUGAUUUCUACUGUAAGACCAUGGAAAAAUACAAAUUGACCCCAGGGGCUGCCUGCACCAGGGUCAUGAGAAACUAACCCCAGGGACCCUGGGACCACUCCUCAAUGCUCAGUACCCAGAGGAAAUGGCCGACCACAAAGAGCAGAUGUUGCCAAAGAUAGCUGAACAAUCGAUCAAUGUAUAGGAGAUAUUUGUAUAGCUGUAUACUGGAAUUUCCCUGGAACCCCCCCCCGCCCCCCCCCACCUACUUGCGGUUUCUGAGCUUAAAUACUCUCUGUAACAGUCACUCGGGGUUCUGCUCCUUCCCUAAGGCAGCUGAACCCCGGCGCACGGACCAAUUACAUCCUCUUGCUGUUACAACGAAUUUCGGACUCUUGGUGGUCUUUGGGCAAUUGUCCCAAGAGAAAGACUCUUUGGGUCUUUCACUACUACUGCCAUUAAAUUAUUCAGUUAUAACCAAUCGAUAUACCCCUCAAUCUUGUCAGAAGUUUGCUAAUUAUCAAGUUUAUGUCAGAAAUAAUUCCUAAAGCCUUUAACAGUUUAAAACCCCAUGAGGUCUCAGAAGAAGUGGACACAACUACAGGAUACUGUCUGGAUAAUGUUAUGAUAAUCACUGAAAAACACGGUGGACAACACUGGAUAUCCUGAGUCAAAUGACUAGGCUAAAUCAGGCUACAGGAAACUUAUUCAGAUCUACCGCUCAUGGACCAAAUAGACUCCAUCCAGGUGCUUACUACACCCAGGACAGCUGCAGAGAAGCAACCUUCAGAUGCUCAAUCUCCUGUCACAGACACAGAUACUGCUGACCUAUCCUCAGAUGGCUCCACAGGCCCUGGACAGCAGGGAAACCGACAACUUUCCUGGACAAACAUCCCCCAUACCCAUUCUUCUAGGUUCCCUAGAGACAUGUCACCCUCAAAGCCAGCCAGAAGUAGUCAGAUAUUACAAUGACCCUAUUCCUGCUUCGCCAUCACCUCUUUCUAAUUUUUUUCUUUUUUAAUUAAACCAAAACAGGGGAAUAUUAGCAUUUUGUCUAAAC